GAGGAUUUAGCUCAGUGGUAGAGUGCUUGCCUAGCAAGCACAAGGCCCUGGGUUCGGUCCCCAGCUCUUCU
rnacentral:tRNA from 1 species